rnacentral:lncRNA from 1 species
CAUUCGGGCCACCCCGGCCCCCGGCCCCAGCACCAGCAUCAGCACCAGCGCGCCGACAAGCGGUGGAGCGUCCACCAGCCGCGGCGCUUCCGCUGGACCACCCGGACGCAGUGGAAGGGUCCUCGCGGAGGGGGUCCUGCAAUCGCAGGAAGAAAUCAUCAGGGGGAUCGCGGGGAUCAACGAGCGGCUGGACCGGCUCGUAAAUUUCCUCGAGCGUCUGGUGGAGAAAAUAAAUUAAUUUGGCUCAUUGAACUGUGUAUUCACUUCUUACCCAUUCACACUGUGGCGAUGAGAUUCUCCCGCGCGAGGACGGCGGCCCGGCAGGGAUCAGCUCGCAUCCCUCCGUCUGCUGCUGGUUCGUCAUGUGGGGCGACGUGCUGCCCGGCCACGGGGAUGUGGUGCACGCUGGUCACAUAGUGAGUCACCAAACACCGCCACACAGCGUCGCCAAAGUGCGAAUCACAGUCAACGCAAAUAUCCAGCUCAACGCCAAUUUCUACACCACCUCCUGACUUUGCGUUGAUUAGCGCUGGAACCGACGCUCGUUUCGCGAUGAUAAAUCUGGACGUGUGCGCCGAUUUUGGCGUACGCAAGGUUUUCUUGCGCCGCAAGCGUUGAUACAUGAGGCCCCUGGUGAGGAACUUUCAGAUUGAUGAUAAUGGGAACUCCUGUGGACAAGGCGGCUCCCUAAUCUCUCAGUGCAGAUUAUGAACUCAAUUUAAAACAAAGGAAUUCACUUUUAAAUCACUUUAAGCCAAAUAAUUCAGAAGCACUUUUACAAUCAGAUAAAAAACACUUCUUAAUCUUGUCAGACAGAGCGUGCUCGGAGAAACUAGUUUCAAAGAAAAAGAAAAAGAAGAAGCGUUUGAUCUUUCGGGUCACAAUAAUAGAAGAAGACUUGACAUCCUGGAGGGACUGACUUAGAAUUAAGUCAAAAUCUUAAAUAUUCAGAAAAAUCACCCUGUGGUGUCCGCUUCAGCUGCAGCACUUUUGAUUCACACAAAAGUUACAAACUUAGCUUUCUAUCGGCUUCUGCCGCAGCUGCCUCAGAUUUUUAGACUUCAUGAGAGAAUCGGCUUUUAAAAGAGACGCAGAGACACAGACAGCUUUUACAGCCAACACUACCGGAACAUAUGGAGAGAGAGGGAACAGAUCAUUUUUUCAUGGACAGAGUUUUAGCAGGAUUUUUAAGGCCAACUUAUUCUGUUACGAAUCGAAAUGUUGGGGUAGGAAGCAUUACCACAACCUGUGAAUGAAAAUAACUUUCUUGCUCUGUCCCUGUUUUUCCAUUUUUUCCUUCUUGAAGUAACUUAGAUAAAAACUUAAAGCGCUUGUUUUCCUUUUUGUAGAGGAGCAGCUGAUGCCAGAAAACCUCUUCACUGGGUUUUGACCCCUGUAGAGGACCUGCAGCCUCUCAGUUUCUAACCACCCUAUGCAUGCGUUGACCUAAGUGGGUGGCGAUGUUAUGUUAAUGAGGCUUGGUGCUGAUUGGCUGUGAAGGCCGGCGAUCCACAGCGGAACGGAAAGAAGCCUGUGGAAAUUGACACAUUGACUUGAAUGGUUACUAUCAGCUACACUCGGCAGUUACUGCCUUUUCGUAGCCGUCCUGGAUGUGGUGGAAAUUGCCAGUUUGGCUCUCAACUUGAUGCUAUUUGCAUCUUAUACGGCAACAUUAGUGUGAAGAAGAAAAUGUGUGUUUUGAUAUGAUGUUGAUAUCGGUUAUUGGUCCAAUAUCAGCCAAAAAACAAAUAUCGGAUUAUAUCAGUCUGCAUCUAAAAUCUCCGAUAUCAGCCCUCCAAUACAAGCAGUCCAUUCCAGACACCACAAGGACCUAGCUAGCAGCGCCCGGAUCCAGCAUGCAGAGCCCACGUGAUCACAACAUCAGUGUGUACUAAGGUACGAACAAAGUAGAGAGGAGUAGGAGUGAUGUCGAAGGCUACAAUAUCGGUAUCGUAUCAAAAGUUAAAAAGUUGUAUCAGGACACCCCUACACAAGAAUCAUAUCGCUCAUUUCUUAUAAAAGAACUAAACCUUGUGCAGAAAACUUUAGGGUUGAUGGAUUACCUCCGCAGAUAGAUCUUUCUUGGUUUUAAGACAACAUAGGAAUUACUCAACCCUCAACUUCCUGCAAACUAUUUCUGAUGAGUUAACGUUAAAAAGAAACUACCUUAAGUCUUCUUGGGGCGUACUCAAGUUUCUAUCAACUAAAAAAAGAGAUGCACUUCUCUAUUUGUGUUCUUUCCUUAAAUAAUGGCGACAAAAGAGCCGAAUCCUGGGUUCAAGUGACAUCACCAUGGUAACAUCCACCUCCUUUAUACAGUCAGUCAAUGUAUGUGCAGCCCGAGUGCAUUCAUAAGAUUAGUUCUACUACAGUGGCCGAGGUUCAGUCAAAGAGGAGUAUAGGAGCUUACUCCAGACUCUAACUUUCAUAACAAGCUCUGACAAGAUAAUCUGACUGACUUUUGCUAAUUCUCUGCACUAAUUACUUCUGCAGGGUUGGUGUGUUAGAGGUGUUAAUGCAUUUGGCUAAUUAAUCACUGCAGACAGCUCCCGUGCUGCUCGGCCUGCUGCACGUAUACAAGACGGAGAGAGACAUAUGGGAGAUGAUGACGACCGAGGGAGAGAGAGAGAGAGAGGGGAAAAUGAGGAGAACCAUCCUCGACACUGUGUAUUUCCUAACCUUUUAUAUAUCGUUUCAUCUUCGGGGUCUACAGCGGCUCAGAGGGCGAGGAAAUACUGGACCUGACACCUUUCCUUUGAUGCCGUCUUUUGAUGAGAGCAGGCCUUUCAUGUGAAUAUUAAAACAAGAGGAAAUGAGUCAUUCCUAUUUCACCGCUUCUCUCCAUUUUUAUCUUGGCUAUACUUGGGUUUCUGACAACAGAUGGCACAUGAAGAGAGGGACCGAAAAUACUUCCUUUUAACAGUAUCGUCCACGUAGAAGGAUGCGAGAUUUACCAUCAAUGCCACCAACCUAUCAAACCUCUGAACCGCAGUGUAGGGAAUGCAAGCACCCUCACAAAAAGGUAAAUAAAUAAAAGCACCAAGACGACCCUCGCCUGCUUGCACAUACCAAACGGGCACUUAGUUUCAAAGUAGCGCUGCCCACCACGGCCCGCAUACUUUCAUAUAACGCGCUCCCUUUCUCCUCGGGGCCUGAGGUGAAUGUGGCCUUUGAGAGUGGAGGGAAAGCAAACAUGUAGCCGGCAGCUCUCGCCUGGGAAAAGAACAUCCAAACUGAGUGGGCUGUCUUCAGGGCGACAGCCUGAGCAAACAACCUGAGAGGGCUUCAUGAGAGUGGGGGGGCCGCUGCAUGACUGAGGGGCUUCAUGGAGCCAGCCGGGGUCCUACCUUUCAUACAACAGGGGCUUUUUACCGUUAACAGGCCGCCAUGAGGUUAGAGAUGGCGAGAUAUGAACCGACAAAUUCACUGAUAAUUCAUAACUGCAACUAACUUAAGCUCUCCUCAGUCGCUUCUUUUGUUGCCAAGACGAGAGAUAAAUCCAAACAUUAAGACCUGGACAUACCUGCAGGAACCUCCCUGACAAUGUCUGAAAAUUUACUUUCUUGGUUUUGAUUUAGGAGGCUCAUUUUCUAGUCAUUUUAAAGCCUUACGUGUUUUUUUCAGUUUGUGUCAACUUUGGCGCCCCCUGUGGACAAACAAAACUUUGCUUAACUUGUCCUUCGUAUGCAAAAGUAGUAUCUUUGUAAAAAUACAAUCAUUUUUCUGACUUUUAACGAAGUUUUCGGAGGCUCAUUUUCUAGCUAUCUUAAAGCUUUAAGGUUUUUUUUUCAAUUUGUGUCAACUUUGGCGCCCCCUGUGGACAAAGCACUAUUUGCUUAACUUGUCCUAUGUGUCCGUUAGUAGUAUCUUCGAAAAAUAUAUUUAUAUAUAAUUUUUCUGACUUUUUUUCAAAGUUUUAGGAGGUUCAUUUUCUAGUCAUUUUUCAAUUUGUGUCAACUUUGGUGCCCCCUGUGGACAAAGCAAUCUUUGUGUAACUUGUCCUAAGAAUGCGUUAAGUAUCUUUUUUUACGGAGGCUCAUUUUAAAGCUUUAAAAGGUUGUUUUUUUCUGGUUAUGUCAACUUUGGCGCCCCCUGUGGACAAAGCAGUCUUUGCUUUUCUUGUCCCCAACAUGCGUAAGUAUUAUCCUUGUUAAAAGUCAGAAAAAAAAUUCUUUUUCCAGAGUUUUUUUUAAAUUAUUUUUAUUUUGGUACACUCUCUCCACCCCCUUGUUUGUUUUUUAUCAUUAGUGUUUCAUCACUACGGUACGAACCCUGACAGAAGGGCGCUAAAAAAGUAGGACGGUACAACUAUUUUGGUUCCUUCCCAAACUUUUUCAAUGAAAAUGAAAAUAUUUGCAAACUAAAUCCAGACUGCUCUGUGAAAAUGCAGCUUAUGUGGUCUGACAACAGCGGAGGAGGCUUUUAAAUGUUUCAGACAAGCUGAAAUGAGGGUUUCAGGGACAGUAGUCAGUACUGUGGUGAACCAGACCGCUUGAUGGAAAUGCAGCUUUGGUGUACUGGCAACAGUGGAGGGGGAUUCUGAAGAGCCAGCAGUUAGUAAAGGGUUUUAAAUCUUUAAAGAAAAAUUAGUUGCAUGAGAUUUUAGAGUUUUAGAGAUAAAUGAAACCUAAAAAUGAAAAUAAAACUUCAUCUUUAACCGAACAGUUCUGUAUUUACGGUGUUGACUUUGUGGUGGAAACACAAACAUCUCUAGUUUUGAUUGUAUUUUACAAACUGUGAGUCCAGUGAAAGGUCAUUUUUUAAAAAUCAGAAUCCUUUCAAAAACCAACAUCGAGAAUUACGUAAAUACAGUCCGUCUACCAAUCACAGCGUCUGAUGUGGUAAAGAGAUUCAUGAGCUCCAAACUUAAAUAAAUAUAACUAUUUUACUGACCUCAGAAGGGUCCAAAUUAAAGUUUCCUUUGGAGCCUGACUUUGUUAAAGGAAAGGAAACCAAACAGGAACUUAAUUUACCAAUGUGUUUGAUCGAUGGUCUUGAAGACAAGCAAAAGCAUCCAAAGUCUACAUCAGAACCUAACACAGGUGUAGAUUAAAUCUACAUAAUUUAGUGUCGUAGAUGCAGCUAUCUGUGAUUUCUACCUCACUUUAAACUUUUCUGUGGCUUCAAACUAAGAGAAGAACUUUUUCUCCUGGGGCUAUAAAAAUAAUGGGGAAUUUGGAUCAUUAUUUGUGAAACUACCCAAACUUCAGGUAAUGACUUCUUCUUAACUAUAGGAAUCUUGAAAUAAGGCUCCUGCCUUGGGCCAGAAUCAUAACACAUUUUUCAUGCCAUGUGGGGACUGAAUGGAAGUAGGUCAAUACCUCAUUUUGAGCCCCAACCCAUAAUUCACCAGAAACUCUGAAGACUUGAAGAAAAGAAAAGGAAAAAAGAAAAACUUCUUCACAUAAUCUGACUCAACAAUCAGCGCUGUCUGCAUCCCAGGUAGGUGGAUAAUGUUCAUGAACGUACAGAGACAGGACAGGUUGAGUAAACAGUACCGUUCCUUAAUUUGCCUAUCAAAGAACAAGUGAAGAGGUCUAAGAGGGGGGCGGUUGGGGGGCUGCGAGUGGUAGCAGGGGGUUUACCGGCUUGUUUAUCCAGCAUCCUCAAGUCGUGACUACUGUUCACACAGCCAGGAUCAGAGCCCACAGAUCCCAGCUUUGAGUGUUUAGCCCGUGGAUUAGCUAUUGUGACGGGCUAGCAUGAUUACCCCCAACCUCCAUCAAUGGCCAUCCCAACCACUCUAGCAAGUCCAGCAAGGGGGUCCAAGCCCAGUGUGGACUUGGAAUACGGGAGGGUUUCCCAGAAUAAGUCUGUUAAAGUGAGUUUAGCAAUCGUAGAAGUUGGUAUGUUAUCAGGUAUCUGUUUCAGGAAGCGUUUCUUAAGGAUCCCUAAAAAAAGAGUACAGAUUCGUCCAGGUUUGAUGGAUAAAGUGCUGCUCCUUAAGGUGUUCCCACAGAAAGUAACUCCCACUAAAACUACGAUUAUUUGUUUCGGAAUUAUCUGCAAGUACGAAGUCACUCAGAAGGAACUUAAAGGGAUAUUCCGGCGUAAAAUCGAUUUAGGGCCAAACAGAUUGUAGCACCGAGUUAGACACCCCCUCGAGAGAUGAAUGUUGCCGACCGCUUGCUUCUCUAGUUAUACCAACUUUAGAAACGACCACAGAUAGCAAUACACAGCGGUCAGAGGAGCCAUAAACAAUCCUUGACCAAAACGCCACUCUAUAGCCAUAGAUGCUAUAGCUUUUUUUGCUAACAAAUGCAGGAAAUAGCAGAAGCCUCUAACCUGAGCAUUCUCCUCCCAGUUAACCAGUCCUAUAAAUCUACCAAAGCUCAUAUCCUGUUGGAGUUUGUAGUUACUUUUGCCUGUUUUCUUCACUUUGGUUGAAGUCUCUUACUUCUUGUGGAUUGAUUUGAUAUGUCUUGUAUGAUCUGAUUGGUCACAACCCCUCAUUAACAACAGUGAUUAAAUUCCAGGGACAAUCAGAAUCAAGUGUUCCACACAGCUUGGUAAGAAAUAAUAAAUUUAUUCCAAAGAUGGAAUUUGCUUUGCUCCAAUAAUAACAUCUUUAUUCAUUUAAGUGUUUUAGACUUGGAAGUAGCUGAAGAGUCAAAACUUCUCACAGCAACUCAAAGUCCAAUUAUAGAGAAGAUGUCGAAUUUCAUGGUUGUGGUUUUGAAUCAAGCUACAGAUGGAAACUCCCUUUCCUCCU